UAAGUGUUCCCCCUUUGAUUUAUAUGUCAUUUUUAACGGUUCUGUAUAAUUGCGACUGUCAAUAUGUGUUUUUAUUUGUUUGUUGCACGAUUUGGUUGUGUUUUGUGGAUUGUUUCUUUCUGUAUGUGGGUUUGUUUUGGUUUAUAUUUCCCCUUUUCCAUCUGUUCAUAUAGUAUUGGAAGCGCAGAGUUUUGAGCUCCUGGUGGCUUCUUUUCUUAUCUCAUCGAGUUCGGGGGAUUUUUUUUUUCUAUUUGGAAUUAAUAGUUCUUGGCUGCUUAGGCAGAGGGGACUAGUUUGAAUGUUAUGUGAAAACAAUCGGGAUGAGGGAUUGAACCUCCUACCCGAAAGGGAAGAGAUGGAGAGAUGCGCUGUGUUAACCUCACUGUGGUCUUUUUGUGUGUUUCACAUAUGGGGCUUCAUUGACUUUGUGUUGUGAUUAAUGCAAUGUUGGUCUGGACUAUGAUAUCUAACUUGGUUAACUUGAUGCUGUAAUGAAUGCAUUACAUCCAUAUUGUUGAUCUCAGUUGCUUCUUUAAUUUUUUUUGACUUUUGGGUAUAUCUAGUCUUCUCCAAUGAUAAAAAUGUUUUGCAUCUAGAUAUUUAGUUUGUUGUGGUCAACCUGUCUCGAUGAUUGCUAAAGUGGUAAGAAUAUAUAUAUUAUACAUCAAAGAAAUUUAAUUUAGUUUCUAUUGACAUUUUAUACAAAUUCUUUCUAGGAUUAGGGAUAAUUCUCUUUAUAUUAGUUGUUCUGUAAUGCAUGAUAUUGUCGCAGCCUCAUGCAAUUUUGGAGUUAUCAUUAUGAGAUUAUUAAUAUAGAAAUAAGUGGCUUUAUUUUAAUGGUGGAUGUGUUAUUCGUUGUCUAGGAGAUUUAGAUAUGGCUCUCUGAUGGACAUGAAGAAGUUGAAGGGGAUAUUGAUACACGACAGACAAUCAAGUUACCUAAAUCAGCAUCCUCUUUAGGUGGGUUCUAUCAGUGUUAUUCAAAAGAACUAUGUAAAGGGGAUAUGAGUGCUUGACAUUAUAAUGGUGGAUAUUUCAAACUAUAUGUACAAGACUUUGUGUUUUUUGCCCCAAGAAUUUGUUUUUAGUCUAUAGGGUGACAGUGGUCUUUGGGACACCAACUAUCAGAUCUGGUCGGGGCCCCUACCACAGUGAACAUGUGAAUGACUCUUAAUCAUUAUGCCCUUUUGUUAUCAUCGAGGCAUUUUGGAGAUUUCGACAAGAAAAAUAUUUCAUCGGUCACCAAACCCAAAAUCCCUUGCUAUUACUUGAGCAAUAUAAUGAUGAUGUCGUUGAUGGCGACUUGAAUAAAAAUUCAGAUUAGGAUGGACAAGAUGAUUUGUUACCUAAGCGCAGUGAUGAGGUUGCUGCAGUUCCUACUGAGGGAUGUGAGAAUAUGGAUACAAAUGUUGGUGAAGAUCUUAUUACUGAUUCUUCCUCUAUUGCUAAUACAUCCGCAGUUUCCAAGGUUCAACCAAAAGGUGUGAUACUUAAGUAGAAUCUAAUCAUCAUAUUUUUGCAAGGAGCUAAAUAUGAGCUAAAUGUUUAUCUAGCUUUCUCAAAAUAGGUUGGGACUAGGGGUGACUGGAAAACAUAUUGUCUGUUUGUGGUCUAGGAUUUGAUAGCAUUUUUUAGGUGCAGACUGCAGUUUGUUAAUUUUGAUAGGUCUCUUCUACUGAGAUGUUCAUGCUAUAAUCUUUCUACUGAGAUGCUCAUGCUAUAAUCUUACACCUCACCUGAAAAGUUUCCAAUAUGGUAUCUGCAUAGCAAAAAGUGGAUAGUUACAGACGAUCCCUCCUUGAGAUCAAAUAAGAAAGUUUCAAGUUUGUUGGACAAGCAAAAGAAGAUCUCGAAGAUGAGGAAGAACCAGAAAAUGCUUAUCAGAUUCUAGAGAGGAAAUGAGAAAGGGAAAUAAAAGAAUGCACAGCAGAUUGCCAGUGGCGAUGCAAAAGAAAAUGCCAACUUUCAACCUCUUUGGAGCGAUUGGCGUGAGCGGGUAAAGCGAAGGAGAGCUCAAUCAUCACUUAAAGCUACUCAAUCCCCUGUUGAAGCACCCAUAGAUGGAAACUAGCAGCCUGACUUGGCAGAAAUCUCAAAAGAUCUCCCCUCAGGAUCGUAGAUUUUGCAAGAAUCCAUUGGAGCAGUGAAGCCAUAUUUGCGGCAAUUCAUUGAUAUAUAGGCCUUUUUAUAGGUUUGUAAGCAAAACUUUUGUUCAAAUGUACUUAUUUAAAGAGCUUGUUCGUACCAAAACAUAUAUGUUCAUUGCUUUAUUGUACAAACACUUUGUCAAUAAUUGUACAUAUAUUAGAAAGUGUAUAUUAAAGUAUAUAUAUUAAAGCGUUUAUCGUUUCUUUUCA